rnacentral:lncRNA from 1 species
AGGGAAUCUGUGUACAUCUUGAACUUGAAACACUAUCUCCACAUCUGCUUCUGGAGAUGCAACUGGUGACGAUGAGAUGUAAAAUGCACCCAGGGUCACUGUCUUGAAUUGUCACGCUGACCACAUGCUUUUUAGACACCUGAACAAGACACCGAGAGAGGGCCCACCUAAAGAUGGAUAUUCUGCUGAUCUUAAAGGUGUUCAACAACAGUUUUGGGCUGUUCAGCUCUACCAAGAAGUGUCAGAACAGAAAAAAAGACAAGCCUGGGGAAAUAACCAGCAACCUUGAAGCUGGAACAUGUCAUAAAAGGGGAGAUUGAAUUCAUGGACUGGGAGUUGGAGGCCACUUAGAAGGAUACUGCAGAAAUGUGUGUUUUGCUAUAACCUUUGGUGUUAUACAGAAUUAUAGGCUCUUCUCACCCCUUUAUUAUUUUCUUAUCCCAAUUUUUCUCAACUCAAGAUGGUUUCAAGUGGUCACUAUACUUGAGCUCAGAAUAAUUAUAAUAGGGCAUGUGGUGUCCAGGAGAGAAAAAUGACUGAGUGACUGUGGGAAUUGACAAAUAUUUAUUUUAGUUUGUGAUAUUGCAACUUGCUGUGUAUUAUGGUUUCAAAAUCGUUUCUCAAAGACUAAUUCUUGUUCUGAAUUUGCAGGAAUUUUUAAUGCUCUGUGUUACUAAAAAGUGUAAUAUUUAAUAGGCAUUUAGAAUUUAUUUUUGUCUAUGAUAUCCCUGGCAUUUAUUUGAGAGUUAAAGUUACGAAAAAGGCAGUCAGCUAAACUUUUAUCAGGGUUUGGUUGUCAGUCUCCUAUGAUAGACCCAUGUGGAGUUACCCUGUCUAUAAUGGUAGCCAUUUGUUCCAUAUGGCUAAUGAGCACUUGAAAUGUGGCUAGUGAAUUGAGGUAUAUUGUAAAUAUAGAUUACACACUGA